AAAUGAAUUAGUGUCUAAAGUUAGACCCGAAGCUAGGUGAUCUUACUAUAGUCAGGAUUAUAAAAGUCCGAACGGGUUAUCGUAGCAAAGAUAUCCGAAGAACUAUGGUAAGUAUAGUGAAAGACAAAACUGACCUAGAUAGCUGGUUUUCUGCGAAACCUAUAAUAGUAGGCAAUUUAAGUAACAUCUUAGCAGGUACAGAACUUAAUCUCAGGCAAG